rnacentral:rRNA from 1 species
CGGUCCCAAGGGUUGGGCUGUUCGCCCAUUAAAGCGGUACGCGAGCUGGGUUCAGAACGUCGUGAGACAGUUCGGUCCCUAUCUGCUGUGGGUGUUGAUAUUUGAGAGGAGCUGUUCCUAGUACGAGAGGACCGGAAUGGACAUACCUCUGGUGGAUCGGUUGUCGCGCCAGCGGCACAGCCGAGUAGCUAAGUAUGGAAAGGAUAACCGCUGAAGGCAUCUAAGCGGGAAGCCUCCCUCAAAACAAGAUAUCUUAGAGUCGUGGUAGACCACCACGUUGAUAGGAGGUAUGUGGAAGCGCA